rnacentral:misc_RNA from 1 species
GACAUCAAACUUGAAAGGAGCUGUAUAAUUAAUAGGUGCAAGGUUAGAGCAUAUCAUAUGACAUUUUCAAAAAGCAAAAUGGCAAAAUGACUCCAACUUCAGUGCCAGAAGCUUAGACAAAGGAUAUUCAAGUUUAAGAACUACAGUGUAUAAUAUCUACAGUUCUCGAACAUGUUCAGACCUAUUUUAAUGUGGGAGUGACUAU